GCUGGACUAGCUCAUCAAGUUAGAGCGUGUGGCUGUUAACCACAAGGUCAGAGGUUCGAAUCCUCUUUCCAGCG
rfam:Selaginella moellendorffii unplaced genomic scaffold SELMOscaffold_7, whole genome shotgun sequence.